CAGGUGCUGGUUGGUACCGGGGAGACGAGUAAAGAACAUAAAUCACUGGACACCACUAUGCUUAGAGCACAUGGGCUUGUGACAUGGUUUACCCACUUACACAUACAGAAUACCAUGACAUUAAUUGGUUUUGAUGGUAACAGAACUCUAGCAACACAGAGCAAACAGUUCAGAAUGGAGGACUGACAGCCAACUACCAACAGAAACCAUAGAUACGCAGGAGUCUGUCAUGGAGAAAGCAAUAUUAGUACUAGUACUCGAGCAGCUCAGAAUGGAGGUCCCAGCACCAACGGACAAGAAACCAUUAUCAAUACUAGCAGCGAUCGUCGGCUCUACAACAAACGUGACCUCACACAGGCAGAGGCUUUCGGCCACGAGGCAGAGGCCAUUUUUGACGUGGCAAAGGCUUGGCUCUACGACCAACGAAGCGUGG
rnacentral:lncRNA from 1 species